CCUACGGGUGGCAGCAGUGGGGAAUAUUGGACAAUGGGCGAAAGCCUGACCCAGCCAUGCCGCGUGUGUGAAGAAGGCCUUCGGGUUGUAAAGCACUUUCAGUGGGGAAGAAAGCCUUGGGGCUAAUACCCUCGAGGAAGGACAUCACCCACAGAAGAAGCACCGGCUAACUCCGUGCCAGCAGCCGCGGUAAUACGGAGGGUGCGAGCGUUAAUCGGAAUUACUGGGCGUAAAGCGCGCGUAGGCGGUCUGAUAAGCCGGUUGUGAAAGCCCCGGGCUCAACCUGGGAACGGCAUCCGGAACUGUCAGGCUAGAGUGCAGGAGAGGAAGGUAGAAUUCCCGGUGUAGCGGUGAAAUGCGUAGAGAUCGGGAGGAAUACCAGUGGCGAAGGCGGCCUUCUGGACUGACACUGACGCUGAGGUGCGAAAGCGUGGGUAGCAAACAGGAUUAGAUACCCGGGUAGUC
rnacentral:rRNA from 1 species